GACGAAGGAUGCAAGCGUUAUCCGGAUUCAUUGGGUUUAAAGGGAGCGUAGGUGGCCUUAUAAGUCAGUGGUGAAAUCUUCGAGCUUAACUCGGAAAUUGCCAUUGAUACUGUAGGGCUUGAGUACAGUUGCUGUGGGCGGAAUAUGACAUGUAGUGGUGAAAUACGUAGGGAUGUCAUAGAACACCGAUUGCGAAGGCAGCUCACAAAACUGUAACUGACACUGAGGCUCGAAGGUGCGGGGAUCAAACAGG
rnacentral:rRNA from 1 species